CUUGGUGGUUCUUGCGGGGAGCCCAGAACCCGAUCCCAUUCCGAACUCGGCCGUUAAACUCCCCUGCGCCAAUGAUACUUCGUCCUAAGACGCGGGAAAGUAGGUCACUGCCAAGC
rnacentral:rRNA from 1 species